rfam:Epulopiscium sp. Nele67-Bin004 Nele67MMBin003_122, whole genome shotgun sequence.
GGUGGGGUUCCCGAGUGGCCAAAGGGGGCAGACUGUAACUCUGUUGGCUCAGCCUUCGAAGGUUCGAAUCCUUCUCCCACCA